AGUGAACGCUGGCGGUAGGCCUAACACAUGCAAGUCGAACGGCAGCACAGUAAGAGCUUGCUCUUACGGGUGGCGAGUGGCGGACGGGUGAGGAAUACAUCGGAAUCUACUUUUUCGUGGGGGAUAACGUAGGGAAACUUACGCUAAUACCGCAUACGACCUACGGGUGAAAGCAGGGGAUCUUCUGACCUUGCGCGAUUGAAUGAGCCGAUGUCGGAUUAGCUAGUUGGCGGGGUAAAGGCCCACCAAGGCGACGAUCCGUAGCUGGUCGGAGAGGAUGAUCAGCCACACUGGAACUGAGACACGGUCAAGACUCCUAAGGGAGGCAGCAGUGGGGAAUAUUGGACAAUGGGGGCAAGCCUGAUCCAGCCAUACCGCGUGGGUGAAGAAGGCCUUCGGGUUGUAAAGCCCUUUUGUUGGGAAAGAAAAGCAGCAGGUUAAUACCCCGCUGUUCUGACGGUACCCAAAGAAUAAGCACCGGCUAACUUCGUG
rnacentral:rRNA from 1 species